UGCGUUGUGGGUGCAAGCUUACGCGCACGGCGAAACCGCGGACGGCUCAUUAAAUCAGUCGUGGUCCAGAUGGGCUAGUGUUAUCUUACUUGGAUAACUGUGGUAAUUCCAGAGCUAAUACAUGCAACUGAAGGCUCGAUCGGUCGAGGGGCAACUCUCGGCUGUGACGGCUGCUUUUAUUAGACCAAACCGCUAUUGGCUUCGGCCCUUAGACCCGUGUUAUGGUGACUCUGAAUAACACCACUUGACAAGCGCACGUAUCCACUCGUUGGGACGGCGCUGCCACUUUCGAGUGUCUGCCUUAUCAGCUAUGUAUCGUUCGUUAUGUGCGACCGAUGGCUUUGACGGGUAACGGGGAAUCAGAGUUCGAUUCCGGAGAGGCAGCCUGAGAAACGGCUACCACGUCCAAGGACGGCAGCAGGCACGCAAAUUACCCAAUCCCAGCAACUGGGGGAGGUAGUGACGAAAUCUAACGAUGCGGGCGCCCCUUCUGGGGCCCCGCAAUCGGAAUGAGCAUUCUCUUUCUAAACACCCUGUUGAGAACCUACUGAAGGGCAAGUCUGGUGCCAGCAGCCGCGGUAAUUCCAGCUUCAGCAGCAUAUACUAAUGUUGCUGCGGUUAAAAGGCUCGCAGUUGAAUGUCAGUAUCGAGCGUAGCGAUGGUGGACGUUGGGGUUUGUCUGGUGGAAUGCGGUGUAUUCUCCUUUGGGGGCCUCACGGUUUUCUUUGGUGUUUCCUGUGUGAAGCUGGGCAAGCUUAAGCCCCCGUCCGUGUCAAGCCUCCUCGCUCGUGUACAAAGUGGAAAUUUCUGUCCAUGGGAUGAGUGCUGGGGGGUGCGUGUCCUAUCCUGGGUGCAAACUUCUCGGUGUGAUUCCCUUGAGUUUCCAAAGGCACCUUGAGUAAAUCAGAGUGCUCAAAGCAGUCGUAAGGAGGGUUCGGUUCUGCCGCGCCCUCCGUGAUGAAUGUCAUUGUGACAGACGGUCUUGGUUUUGCAUGGUAUGUCGAAAGACGCCGCCGCUGUUGGUAACGGGUCUGGUGCGGGGUUGUGUUAUCUUUGCUUUAUUGCGGGGGUGGCUUGGCCAUUUACAAAGACCAACAGUUGCGGAAUGAUUAAGAGGAACGGUCGAGGGCAUUGGUAUUGCGAGGCGAGAGGUGAAAUUCUAUGACCCCCGCAAGACCUCCUGAAGCGAAAGCGUCUGCCAAGGACGUUUUCAUUAAUCAUGAACGAAAGUUAGAGGAUCGAAGGCGAUCAGAUACCGCCCUAGUUCUAACCCUAAACGAUGCCAACCAUCAAUCCGCGCGUAGCACCCUUUCUAACGGGCUCGGCGGGCAGCUCCCCUCUCACGGG
rnacentral:rRNA from 1 species